rnacentral:tRNA from 1 species
GCCUCUUUAGUUUAAUGGUAGAACAUGGGUUUCCUAAACUCCUGAUAAGGGUUCGAUUCCCUUAAGAGGUU